AUUUAGAGCAUGACACUGAAGAUGUUAGGGAAAUUAUUGUAAUUUUUAAAUAUUUAUUUGUUCCGCAGAUUGCCGACUUCGCUCUCGAGAACGAUGAUAUACCGGAUUUGAACUCUACCCUCGAAGCAUCUGGCACAACACUGAAUUCAAAUGCAUCCUUCCAAAAUAUAGUUCCAGUUUUGUGCUCCCCAUAUGAUGAACAUAAAGUUGUAUGCGCAAGCACAAAAAGGAAAUACGAUGGCUGCGUAGAUAACCUGAACCGGGAAGUGAGUGAUUU